rnacentral:rRNA from 2 species
CUGUCUGGUGCCAGCAGCCGCGGUAAUUCCAGCUCCAAUAGCGUAUAUUAAAAUUGUUGCAGUUAAAAAGCUCGUAGUUGAAUUUCGGGGUUAGUAGGUUGGUCAUGCCUCUGGAAUGCACUGGCCUCACUGAUUCCUCCUUCCUGAUGAGCCGUAAUGCCAUUAAUUUGGUGUUGCGGGGAAUUUGGACUGUUACUUUGAAAAAUUAGAGUGUUUAAAGCAAGCUAACGCUUGAAUACAUUAGCAUGGAAUAAUGAAAUAGGACGUUCGAUCCUAUUUUGUUGGUUUCUAGGAUUGACGUAAUGAUUAAUAGGGAUAGUUGGGGGCAUUAGUAUUCAAUUGUCAGAGGUGAAAUUCUUGGAUUUAUUGAAGACUAACUACUGCGAAAGCAUUUGCCAAGGAUGUUUUCAUUAAUCAAGAACGAAAGUUAGGGGAUCGAAGACGAUCAGAUACCGCCGUAGUCUUAACCAUAAACUAUGCCGACUAGGGAUCGGAUGAUGUUAAUUUUUAAUGACUCA